ACUGAGUAAUGAGCUCUCGGAAGUUGCUGAAUAGACCGACCGACUUUUUCUUCACACUGUCACUGGAUUGCCGCUAAGUUGAGGUUUAUUUCGCUUGAAGAUUCUUCGCUGCAUACAUCCCCAGGAGUUUUUGUUGCGAGCACACAUUUGC